CCUACGGGAGGCAGCAGUGGGGAAUAUUGGACAAUGGACGAGAGUCUGAACCAGCCAAGUAGCGUGAAGGAUGACUGCCCUAUGGGUUGUAAACUUCUUUUAUCUGGGAAUAAAAUGUUCCACGUGUGGGAUUUUGUAUGUACCAUAUGAAUAAGGAUCGGCUAACUCCGUGCCAGCAGCCGCGGUAAUACGGAGGAUCCGAGCGUUAUCCGGAUUUAUUGGGUUUAAAGGGAGCGUAGGUGGAUUGUUAAGUCAGUUGUGAAAGUUUGCGGCUCAACCGUAAAAUUGCAGUUGAAACUGGCAGUCUUGAGUACAGUAGAGGUGGGCGGAAUUCGUGGUGUAGCGGUGAAAUGCUUAGAUAUCACGAAGAACUCCGAUUGCGAAGGCAGUUCACUGGACUGCAACUGACACUGAGGCUCGAAAGUGUGGGUAUCAAACAGGAUUAGAUACCCUUGUAGUC
rnacentral:rRNA from 1 species